UACGAAGGGGGCUAGCGUUGCUCGGAAUCACUGGGCGUAAAGCUCGCGUAGGUGGCCUCAUAAGUCCGCUGUGAAAGUCAAAGGCUCAACCUUUGAAAGCCGGUGGAUACUGUGAGGCUAGAGUACGGAAGAGGCGAGUGGAAUUCCUGGUGUAGCGGUGGAAUGCGCAGAUAUCAGGAGGAACACCAAUAGCGAAGGCAGCUCGCUGGGACGUUACUGACACUGAGGCGCGAAAGCGUGGGGAGCGAACAGG
rnacentral:rRNA from 1 species